CAUCUACUCCCUCCGUCCCAAAAUAAGUGUCUCAAGCUUGGUAAAACUUUGUACUAGAGCUAGUACAAAGUUGAGACAGUUAUUUUGGGACGGAGGGAGUAUUUA
rnacentral:pre_miRNA from 1 species